rnacentral:lncRNA from 1 species
CUCCUUUUCAAUUGUUUGGAAUAGUUUCAGAAGAAAUGAAUUUGAUGAUGAUGUAUCUUGGGGAUGCCCUCUCUCACCACUCCUUUCAACAUAGUGGAAGUUCUGGCCAGCACAAUCAGGCUGGACAACAUGAAAAUGUCUGAUAAUACCAAGUAUUGCCAGAGUGUGGACCAAGAAAAACUCUUACAAAUACUAAUAAAACUGUAAACCAUGUGAAAAACAAUUUAAUAUUGACUGUAUCAUACCCUGAAACAGAAAUCCACUCCUAGGUGAUACAUUAACUAGAAAAAUUUUUAUGCACAUUCAUAAAGAGAUAUAAACAAACAUGUUCCCAACAGUAUUACUUAUAAUAGUAAAAACUGUCAUCAGAAUGUGAAUGUGGUGAGUUUAUACAAUUAACUAUUAUGCAGCAUCAAAAAUCAGUCAACCAGAGUGACACAUAUGAAUAUGAAUCAUUAUUAUUUACAUAAUGUUGAUAUUUUAAAAAUCAAAAGCAAUUUGCAAAAGAAUGCAUACUGUAUUAUAUCAUUUAUAUAAGGGUUACCUAUGCUAAGCGAUACAAAAAUAUUGUUAGUACUCAA